rnacentral:tRNA from 1 species
GGGUGAUUAGCUCAGUUGGUUAGAGCAUCUCGUUUACACCGAGAGGGUCAGGGGUUCGAAUCCCUUAUCACCCACCA